CCUACGGGAGGCAGCAGUGGGGAAUAUUGCACAAUGGGGGAAACCCUGAUGCAGCGACGCCGCGUGAGUGAAGAAGUAUUUCGGUAUGUAAAGCUCUAUCAGCAGGAACGAGACUAGCCGGUACCUGACAAAGAAGCCCCGGCUAAAUACGUGCCAGCACCCGCGGUAUGACGUUGGGGGCAAGCGUUACCCGGAAUCAUGGGGUGUAAAGGGAGCGUAGACGGGUGAGCAAGCCUGAAGUGAAAGGCGGGGGCCCAACCCCCGGAGUGCUUUGGAAACUGUACGGCUAGAGUGCAGGAGAGGUAAGUGGAAUUCCUAGUGUAGCGGUGAAAUGCGUAGAUAUUAGGAGGAACACCAGUGGCGAAGGCAGCUUACUAAACUGUGACUGACAUUGAUGCUCGAAAGUGUGGGUAUCAAACAGGAUUAGAUACCCUUGUAGUC
rnacentral:rRNA from 1 species